rnacentral:rRNA from 1 species
UACGUAGGGGCCGAGCGUUGUCCGGAUUCAUUGAGCGCAAAGAGCGUGUAGGCGGCCGCUUAAGUCCUGCGUGAAAUCUCGGAGCUCAACUCCGUGCGGUCGUGGGAAACUGGGCGGCUAGAGUGCGGGAGAGGAGAGUGGAAUUCCUGGUGUAGCGGUGAAAUGCGCAGAUAUCAGGAGGAACACCGAUUGCGAAGGCAGCUCGCUGGAACGUUACUGACGCUGAGACGCGAAAGCGUGGGGAGCAAACAGG